UACGUAGGGUCCGAGCGUUGUCCGGAAUUACUGGGCGUAAAGCGCUCGCAGGUGGUUUGUCGCGUCGUGCGUGAAAGACCCCGGCUCAACUGGGGAGGGUCGUGCGAUACGGGCGAACUGGAGGCCAGUAGGGGGAUGCGGAAUUCCGGGUGUAGUGGUGGAAUGCGUAGAGAUCCAGAGGAACACCAGCGGCGAAGGCGGCAUCCUGGACUGGUCCUGACACUCAGGAGCGAAAGCGUGGGGAGCGAACAGG
rnacentral:rRNA from 1 species